GAUGCCUCCAAGUCAUCAGGGCCCAAGGGCUGCCGCCUAGACUUGCUCAGCACUAAAGGCCUUUGGACGCUGUUCCCCUGGCGGUAAAGCAGGACUGCGCCCCCUGUCCCCAUCCCAGCCUGGACAAUGAACUUUGCAGGAAACAACGAAACUUUUGAGGGCAGUAACUCCAGACCUUUCUUUCAUGUGCCCCCCCAUGAUCCCCAUGACCCAGCAGCCUCUCCUGGGUCCCUGGUACCAGAAUGCCACCUAUAAUCCACUCUCCAUUCCAGGGGCAGAGGAAAGUCAAGCCUGAAAUCCAAGGGCGUUAAGUGCCCACCGUGGAGGGUGGAAGCAGCGCAGCACCUGGAGGAGCUUCCUCGGGGAGUCCCUUGGUCUGGCCACCCCGCCAGAGGCAUUUCUAAG